AGCGAACGCUGGCGGCAGGCCUAACACAUGCAAGUCGAACGAAGUCUUCGGACUUAGUGGCGGACGGGUGAGUAACACGUGGGAACGUGCCUUUAGGUUCGGAAUAACUCAGGGAAACUUGUGCUAAUACCGAAUGUGCCCUUCGGGGGAAAGAUUUACCGCCUUUAGAGCGGCCCGCGUCUGAUUAGCUAGUUGGUGAGGUAAAGGCUCACCGAGGCGACGAUCAGUAGCUGGUCUGAGAGGAUGAUCAGCCACAUUGGGACUGAGACACGGCCCAAACUCCUACGGGAGGCAGCAGUGGGGAAUCUUGCGCAAUGGGCGAAAGCCUGACGCAGCCAUGCCGCGUGAAUGAUGAAGGUCUUAGGAUUGUAAAAUUCUUUCACCGGGGACGAUAAUGACGGUACCCGGAGAAGAAGCCCCGGCUAACCUCGUGCCAGCCGCCGCCGUAA
rnacentral:rRNA from 1 species